CCUACGGGCGGCUGCAGUGGGGAAUAUUGGACAAUGGGCGAAAGCCUGAUCCAGCCAUGCCGCGUGUGUGAAGAAGGCCUUCGGGUUGUAAAGCACUUUCAGUGGGGAAGAAAGCCUUGGGGCUAAUACCCUCGAGGAAGGACAUCACCCACAGAAGAAGCACCGGCUAACUCCGUGCCAGCAGCCGCGGUAAUACGGAGGGUGCGAGCGUUAAUCGGAAUUACUGGGCGUAAAGCGCGCGUAGGCGGUCUGAUAAGCCGGUUGUGAAAGCCCCGGGCUCAACCUGGGAACGGCAUCCGGAACUGUCAGGCUAGAGUGCAGGAGAGGAAGGUAGAAUUCCCGGUGUAGCGGUGAAAUGCGUAGAGAUCGGGAGGAAUACCAGUGGCGAAGGCGGCCUUCUGGACUGAUACUGACGCUGAGGUGCGAAAGCGUGGGUAGCAAACAGGAUUAGAUACCCUGGUAGUC
rnacentral:rRNA from 1 species